CCUUUCACUUCAAAUACUUUUUUAAAAUUAAUUUGUAUUUUUACUAAAAAUUGGUUGUAAAAACAUUUUAGUUAAAAAAAUGCUUUCACAAUUAUACAAAAGCACUUUCUGAACCAGCCCUAGUUUUGUCCAUUUAAGUUUAGGUUCGGUGUUCAAAACAAAACUAAAAGCAGAAGAGGCAAAUCGGAAAGAAAGCAUAAGUUCAAGGGCAUUGGUAAAUUUUUUUUCAUUUUUUCUAAAACGAGACUAUAUUUUUAGAAACAUUAACGAAAAGGGAUUGAAAUAUUUAAGUUUUAAUGAUAAAGAUAAAAUAAAUAAGAAAAUAAAUAGUAUCAGAUCUGAGUACCUAAAAAAUAUGGUUGUUCAUUAAAAUAAACAUUACGGGAGUUAUUUUUUAUUUUUAUUUUUUCUAGUAAGACUGAAGACAUGAAAGAGCUUUACCUGAUGACAGGUGACGGUUUGGAAGCACCGAAGCUCCUGAGUGAAAUCGGGCAACCCGAUCGUGUGGUGGAGGAUCCGGUUCGUGCCGUAAUCGUUGGAGUUCGGCCCACCUACUAUGCAGAUGACCGGCAAGUUCUCGCUGCACGCACCGGCGAUCGCGUUCAGCACACUGAGCCCGCCGACGGUGAACGUAACGACGCACGCUCCAACCCCCCUGGCGCGCGCGUAGCCGUCAGCAGCAUAACCGGCGU
rnacentral:lncRNA from 1 species